rnacentral:lncRNA from 1 species
CUCUGAGCAAUUGUCAUCCACAGGGAAAUGGAUAGAUGAAGGUGAUAGGGAGCCGAUUCUGGGCUCCUCGACACCAGCAAGUAAAAAUAACCCUUCCCCGCAUAAUAUGAAAGCAGAAGUUAAGAAACUGAUGGUAAAAGCUCUUGGACAGUUUGAUUCAAACUUGAGUGAUAAAUGGACAAUUUAGAAGAAAAUC